AUUGAACGCUGGCGGCAGGCUUAACACAUGCAAGUCGAGCGGGGUGAUGGUGCUUGCACUAUCACUUAGCGGCGGACGGGUGAGUAAUGCUUAGGAAUCUGCCUAUUAGUGGGGGACAACAUCUCGAAAGGGAUGCUAAUACCGCAUACGUCCUACGGGAGAAAGCAGGGGAUCACUUGUGACCUUGCGCUAAUAGAUGAGCCUAAGUCGGGUUAGCUAGUUGGGGGGGUAAAGGCCUACCAAGGAGACGAUCUGUGGCGGGUCUGAGAGGAUGAUCCGCCACACUGGGACUGAGACACGGCCCAGACUCCUACGGGAGGCAGCAGUGGGGAAUAUUGGACAAUGGGGGGAACCCUGAUCCAGCCAUGCCGCGUGUGUGAAGAAGGCCUUAUGGUUGUAAAGCACUUUAAGCGAGGAGGAGGCUCUUUUGGUUAAUACCCAAGAUGAGUGGACGUUACUCGCAGAAUAAGCACCGGCUAACUCUGUGCCAGCCGCCGCCGUAA
rnacentral:rRNA from 1 species